AGAUCAAAGAGCAUUUCAUACAUUUGUACUAAUAAAAACUAGUGCGGCUGACAAAAUAACUAGACAAUGACACGUGGUAUGCCAUGUGUACCUUAUAUUGACAUAUAAGGACCAGUUUUUAAUAGUAAAAAUGAAUGGAAUUUUUAACA
rnacentral:pre_miRNA from 1 species